UGCCUGAUGGUACUUUCUUUUUUUAAUUUUUUUUUUCAAGUUUAAUACACACUAGGACAAGUCACAAAACAGGAUGCUGCUAGUCCAGAAAUACUCUUCCCAAAGUCCACCCCAGGAGCCCCAAAACAGAGGCCAGGGAACAGUCCUUGGCUCCUAGGGAGCCCUGGAGCCCUUCUGUCACGUCCGACCUCCUGCCCUUGACCUAGACUCAGUUGGCACAGACCCCUCCCCUCCCUGGGUCGCAGGACUUCCCUCCCUCCUCAGGGGAUGGAGAGGCAGCAGCAUCGCGAUGGUUCAGGGCCCUCUGGCCAGGCUGUCCAGGAGCAGCUAGGCGGCGACCUAGGUGAAGAGACUGCAGAAGGGGCUGCCGGGCACUCAGGCACCCACACACUCCACGUAAUUGGCAGGGUACAGGCCAAUGCGGCCACUCUGUAACUGCCCCUGGCACCAGCCCUGCUCAUCCUCCUCGCUCAUCUUCAGUAGCUCCUCCCCUGAGGAAAGGGGGUUUUGUCACUGCCAGUUGCCCUGAGGCCCAGCCAUUCCCACUACUGGGUCAAGGACUGAGGGGGAUGGGGUAAAUGACAGUCAGCCAGCAAGAGGGGACAGGGUUCGGGCAGGGGGGGAGGUGACCCUCAGAAAGCUGCCCCACCUCACACCCCGGAGGCAGCAAUAGGGCUCCAGCUGACUGCACCCAAAAUAGCUUCCUUCUCAGAACUGAGGCUGAGAAGGAAGCACCUGGCCUCUCCCACACCCCUCUGCCCUGGCAGGUAAGGCAGGGACUGCACCUGGUAAGGAACAGGAAGGGGGGCCCCAAGGUACCUGCUCGGAAGCUCAGCUCAUCUGCUUCCUGGCCAGCAUAGUCAUAGAGCGCCCGCACCCGCACCCCCGGUGGCAGCCUUCCGGGGGUCUCCUCAUCGGACCACCUCUUCCUCCUGCCCACUGGAGAGGACAGGCAGAAGAGGCAGCUCAGGGCCCAGGACUCAGGGACAAGGGCUCACCCCUCGGAGGGACCCUCGGAGCAGGUGGGAGGAACUGAGAGACUCUAGUGGGAACUGGCAAUUCUAAACCUCCACUAAGUCCACCCUCUCAUUCAGGGCACAGAUUUCAACCCACCUCAUGUGUAAAAGGAAAGAAACGAAGGAGAGAGGGGAAAGAGGGCUGGGAAAGGGGCAGAGCUGUUUCUUUGCCUCAUCUGGGCUCCCAGCUCUCACCCUGGGGACCCCGGGGACUGGGGUGGGGGCGCGGUGCCAUCUCUUGUGGGCACAAUGCUGGUCAGAGUAACCUCAUCGGGGCUCCGCCACCCCCUCUCCUUCCGGCUGAUUGUCCUCUGCGUGUCCAAGGACCAUUCCUGCGGGAGAGUGCAUAGGGUCAGGCUUGGCCACCUUCACCAACUUCAUCCCAAGCGCCAAAGUCCUCUGCUAGGGCCCCAGCCCCACCCAGCAUGCAACACGUGCCUCAAACUGUGGCCAGUUCAUGGCCAUGCCUGGCCCAUGGGUGCUGCGCCACCAGCGCAGGUCCUCCUCGUCACUGGCUGCCUCAAUGCCCUGGUGCAGGUCUCGGUGGAGUUCGUGGAACCUAGGGCCCGAGGCACUUCCCUCAGAUGAGGAUGUCCUGGGCCACAGGAACCCCCAAUCGCAGGGCCUUUGGGACACAGAGGGGACCCAUGCCCAUGCCAUACUUGUCGUUGCUGGAGAGGUCAAGGUGCUGGGUGCAAGGUGAGCAGCAUGUCCUUGAAGAAGAGAAGCCGCUGGCGCUCGGCAGCCUGGCAGCUCUCAAAGGCCUGCUCCAUGUCCUCCAUGUAGCGCGGGGUGUAGCGGUGCAGCUCGCUUAGCCCGCUCGCCGCCGCGAAGAAGGCGUGCCAGGCCUUCUCCAGUGUGCCAUACUGGGGGCCUGCGAGCCACAGGGCCCCCCAGUGAGCCGGCCCUCUCACUGAGUCCUCCCAAAGGGUGUCCAGGGUGCAAAGAGGACAGCACUGUCGCCUGCUGCCCACCAAAUGCUCACUCUGUCCUAACCAGGAGACCUCCCAGAAUCCUUGCUUCAGCACUGAGUGGACAAUGUCAGGAUCAGUGUGGAUCAGGCCAAGAAACCGGAAGACCCAGAGAAGUGACGUUUGCUCAUCCAAAGCCUUACAGCUGCGUAAUGGAGCUGAGAGUCAGACUCCAGCCGAAUGCAUAAACCAUACACCUGAAUCUUUCCCUCAGGCAAAAUCUGGGGUCCACUUCCAGCUCCUAGCCUCUGUGAACUUCCAGGUUCCCCUCCAGGAAUUGUGCCGGGGCUAGGAGUGUAGUUCAGAGGCAGAGCACUUGUCUCAGCGUGGGCUCAAUUCUCAGUACCAAAGGAGGGUCCCACCCUCACACCCCCCCAGCGCCCAUCAGCCUGCAUAACGGCUCACCCUUCUCCACCGCGGCCCCUCCACUUGCGAGGGCCCAUUCAGCCAGCUGCUGGGCAUAGGCCUUCUC
rnacentral:lncRNA from 1 species